rnacentral:rRNA from 1 species
GACGAACGCUGGCGGCGUGCUUAACACAUGCAAGUCGAACGGAAAGGCCCUGCUUUUGUGGGUUGCUCGAGUGGCGAACGGUUGAUUAACACGUGAUUAACCUGCCCUUGACUUUGGGUUAACUUCAGGAAACUGGGGCUAAUACCGGAUAGGAGCUCCUGCUGCAUGGUGGGGGUUGGAAAGUUUCGGCGGUUGGGGAUGGACUCGCGGCUUAUCAGCUUGUUGGUGGGGUAGUGGCUUACCAAGGCUUUGACGGGUAGCCGGCCUGAGAGGGUGACCGGCCACAUUGGGACUGAGAUACGGCCCAGACUCCUACGGGAGGCAGCAGUGGGGAAUAUUGCACAAUGGGCGGAAGCCUGAUGCAGCAACGCCGCGUGCGGGAUGACGGCCUUCGGGUUGUAAACCGCUUUCGCCUGUGACGAAGCGUGAGUGACGGUAAUGGGUAAAGAAGCACCGGCUAACUACGUG